rnacentral:rRNA from 1 species
AGUGAACGCUGGCGGUAGGCCUAACACAUGCAAGUCGAACGGCAGCACAGGAGAGCUUGCUCUCUGGGUGGCGAGUGGCGGACGGGUGAGGAGUACAUCGGAAUCUGCCCAGUCGUGGGGGAUAACGUAGGGAAACUUACGCUAAUACUGCAUACGACCUUCGGGUGAAAGAGGGGGAUCGCAAGACCUCUCGCGAUUGGAUGAGCCGAUGUCGGAUUAGCUAGUUGGCGGGGUAAUGGCCCACCAAGGCGACGAUCCGUAGCUGGUCUGAGAGGAUGAUCAGCCACACUGGAACUGAGACACGGUCCAGACUCCUACGGGAGGCAGCAGUGGGGAAUAUUGGACAAUGGGCGCAAGCCUGAUCCAGCCAUACCGCGUGGGUGAAGAAGGCCUUCGGGUUGUAAAGCCCUUUUGUUGGGAAAGAAAUCUUUCAGGCUAAUACCCUGGGAGGAUGACGGUACCCAAAGAAUAAGCACCGGCUAACUUCGUG